rnacentral:rRNA from 1 species
UACGUAGGGGGCGAGCGUUGUCCGGAAUUAUUGGGCGUAAAGAGCGUGUAGGCGGUUCGGUAAGUCUGCCGUGAAAACCUGGGGCUCAACCCCAGGCGUGCGGUGGAUACUGCCGGGCUAGAGGGUGGUAGAGGCGAGUGGAAUUCCCGGUGUAGCGGUGAAAUGCGCAGAUAUCAGGAGGAACACCGAUGGCGAAGGCAGAUCUCUGGGCCGUAACUGACGCUGAGGAGCGAAAGCAUGGGGAGCGAACAGG